AUAACGAGGACACAGUGAGUGAGAGGGUACAAUAAUGAGAGGGAGGAAGCGGAAGACUGUUGAAGCUAAAAUCAGAAAUCACUGUGAUCAUUCUCUAGGUCAGUGGAUCCUGCUGUGCCAUACGUUGGAAUCACCUUGGAAUCAGCUGGGGAUCUUUAAAGGUGUUUCUGCCUGGCUCCCCACCCCAGACCUUGUGAUUUAAUUCACCAGGGGUGUGGCAUGGCAUUGGGGUUUCCAAAGGCUUCCCAUGUGAUCCUAAUAUGCAGCCACGUUUGUGAACUCCUGCACUAGGCAGUGAGAACGCUUCCUUCUGAGUUGAGGCUGCCUGAACCUCAAAGGCAUCUCAACGUUGUGUCAAUGCCUAAAUGCACUCUUCGGCUCAUGUAGCAACUUCUAGAGCUGCGUCCGAAUCACAGAGGAAAUUAACUGUUGAAAAUAAUGUUUGAUUGAGUUACCAUGGGCAUGCUAAAUUAUGUUUAUGUCCCUAAAAAGUGUUUUUCAUCGUUCUCUAAUGUUAGGAUGGUCGGAUGUCUGAAGGAAAGUGUUGGAAUUCUUAAAAGUACUAGAAAUCUUGAAACCAAGUUAUGUUUUUAAAUAUGUUUUGAAUUUGAUAGCUUAUUAAAUUGUAAUUAUUUAUAGUCAUGUUUAACACUGGCAAGAGGAGCCAUCUAAAGUUUAUGAAAUAAAUCUUUUUGACAUGGAAAGAUAUGAAGUGGAAAAACUUUUUUGUAAAAAACAUAUAUAGAUACAGUACACAAAAAUAUAUCUGAAAACUGUUGCUCAAAAUAUCAAUAGAGGUUAUCUUUGAGGGUAAAGCUUGAGUAAUUUUUAGUUUCAUUUUAUAUUUCUGUUUUAUUUCAAGUUUUUCACAUUGCAUGUGUUUUAGUUUAUUAAUCAGAAAAAGUAGUAAAGCUGCUGCCAUUUCAGAGGGAAUGCAUGUGUGCCAUUUUAGAGGGAAUGAAUUUAUAGCAGCAGUUAAAACUGUUUCUUUAUGCUACAAAUGACAGUCAGUUUAAGAUGAAAUGCAUUUAAAUGACUCUGAUCUUAUUUCUAGGCACUAGGUGAGCUCUGUGAAACCAAGUUUGGGAAGACACACCCUGUGUGCAAUUUGGUUGCUUCUUUGCGGUUGUGGUUGCCGAAAUCCUUAAGUCCUGGCUGUGGGCGGGAGCUGCAGAGACUCUCUUACUUAGGGGCUUUCUUUAGCUUCUCAGUCUUUGCAGAAGAUGAUGUUAAAGUGGUUGAAAAAUACUUCUCAGGGCCUGCCAUUACCCUGGAAAACACUCGUGUGGUUAGCCAAUCAUUGCAGCAUUACUUAGAGCUCGGAAGGCAAGAGCUUUUUAAGAUUCUGCAUAGUAUUUUGUUAAAUGGCGAAACCCGUGAGGCUGCUCUCAGUUACAUGGCGGCUGUCGUCAAUGCCAAUAUGAAGAAAGCACAGAUGCAGACAGAUGAUAGAUUGGUGUCUACAGAUGGAUUUAUGCUGAAUUUCCUUUGGGUACUGCAGCAGCUAAGUACAAAAAUCAAGUUAGAAACAGUUGAUCCCACGUAUAUUUUUCACCCAAGAUGUCGGAUUACUCUUCCAAAUGAUGAGACGCGUGUGAAUGCAACGAUGGAAGAUGUGAACGACUGGCUGACUGAACUCUAACUGUAGAAGAUUUGAAAAAUAAUGAAAGCCAAUGGAAAGAUUCCCCACUGGCAACUAGACACCGCGAAAUGCUGAAGCGCUGUAAAACUCAGCUUAAGGUUUGUAUAGCUAAGUGGAAUAAUUAUAGACCAGCCUCAUAGUGAUAAUUUUCCCAACAGAAUAUAUGCCUUGAGUGAGCAGUUUAGUGUCCUCACUUUUUCUUUGUUAUUCUUUUCCCUUCCGAUAAAAUAGUAUAUUUUAAAACUUGUUGAUACCUUACUUAUAUGUGUAUAUAAUUAUUUCAGUCUCAGGACAGAAUAUGGAUAGAUAUGCUUCUGCUGUGACUAUGAAUUCUUAAUGGGUUUUAUGAUUCUCAGUUUAACAUCACCUCCCUUGGCUGGGCGCAGUGGCUCACACCUGUAAUCCCAGCACUUUGGGAGGCCUAGGCGGGUGGAUCACGAGGUCAGGAGAUGGAGACCAUCCUGGCUAACACGGUGAAACCCUGUCUCUACUAAAAAUACAAAAAAAAAUUAGCCAGGCGUGGUGGCGGGCACCUGUAGUCCCAGCUACUCAGGAGGCUAAGGCAGGAGAAUGCCAUGAACCCGGGAGGCAGAGCUUGCAGUGAGCCAAGAUCACGCCACUGCAGUCCAGCCUGGGCGACAGAGCGAGACUCCGUCUC
rnacentral:sRNA from 1 species